rnacentral:rRNA from 1 species
AUCUAUGGCCAUGCCACCCUGAACAAGCCCGAUCCCAUCUGAUCUUGGAAGCUAAGCAAGGUCAGACCUGAUUAGUAUUUGGAUGGGAGACUGCCUAGGAAGACCAGGUGCUGUAGGCG